rnacentral:rRNA from 1 species
AUUCAACGCUGGCGGCAGGCCUAACACAUGCAAGUCGAACGAGUGGCGGACGGGUGCGUAAUGCCUGAGAAACUGCCUACUGGAGGGGGAUAACUACUGGAAACGGUAGCUAAUACCGCCUACCAUCGGCUGUGCCCAGAUGGAAUGCGCUAGUAGGUGGGGUAAAGGCGCACCUUGGCGACGAUCCCUAGCUGGUCUGAGAGAAUGACAAGCAACACUGUAACUGAGACACGGUCCGGACUCCUACGGGAGGCAGCAGUGGGGAAUAUUGCACAAUGGGCGCAUGCCUGAUGCAGCCAUGCCGCGUGGAUGAAGAAGGCCUUCGGGUUGUAAAGUACUUUCAGCGGGGAGGCGUUACCAGCAGAAGAAGCACCGGCUGCCUCCGUGCCAGCAGCCGCGGUAAUUC